rnacentral:piRNA from 1 species
UCUGUGUGGAAAUAGGUGGUA